UUUAAAGUCUAAUCUGCCCUAUGAGGAGUUAAAUGGCCGCGGUACUUUGACCGUGCAAAGGUAGCAUAAUAAUUAGUUUUUUAAUUGAAAGCUGGAAUGAACGAUUGGACGAGAAAAUGACUGUCUCAAUUUAAUUUUAUUAGAAUUUUAUUUUUAAGUAAGAAAGCUUAAAUUUUAUUAAAAGACGAGAAGACCCUAUAGAGUUUUAUAGUUAAGUAUUUACUAAUUUUUUAGAAUUAUUUUAUUGGUAAUAGAUUAAUUAUUUUAUUGGGGCGAUAGAAAAAUUUAAUAAACUUUUUUUAGAAGCAAAACAUUGAUUUAUGGUUUUAUGAUCCAUUUUUUAUGAUUAAAAGAUUAAGUUACCUUAGGGAUAACAGCGUAAUUUUUUUUUAGAGUUCUUAUCGAAAAAAAAGGUUGCGACCUCGAUGUUGGAUUAAAAUUAAUGCUUGGUGUAGAGGCUAAGUAAUUAGGUCUGUUCGACCUUUAAAAUUUUACAUGAUCUGAGUUUAAACCGGCGUGAGCCAGGUUGGUUUCUAUCUUUAAUAGGUUAAAAUAUUUUAGUACGAAAGGACCAAAUAUUUAUAAUAUUUUAUUUUAUUUUUGAAUAAUAUUAG
rnacentral:rRNA from 1 species